AUGCGGAGGGAUCAUUACCGAGUUUACAACUCCCAAACCCCUGUGAACAUACCUUAAUGUUGCCUCGGCGGAUCAGCCCGCGCCCCGUAAAACGGGACGGCCCGCCAGAGGACCCAAACUCUAAUGUUUCUUAUUGUAACUUCUGAGUAAAACAAACAAAUAAAUCAAAACUUUCAACAACGGAUCUCUUGGUUCUGGCAUCGAUGAAGAACGCAGCAAAAUGCGAUAAGUAAUGUGAAUUGCAGAAUUCAGUGAAUCAUCGAAUCUUUGAACGCACAUUGCGCCCGCUGGUAUUCCGGCGGGCAUGCCUGUUCGAGCGUCAUUUCAACCCUCAAGCCCCCGGGUUUGGUGUUGGGGAUCGGCUCUGCCCUUCUGGGCGGUGCCGCCCCCGAAAUACAUUGGCGGUCUCGCUGCAGCCUCCAUUGCGUAGUAGCUAACACCUCGCAACUGGAACGCGGCGCGGCCAUGCCGUAAAACCCCAACUUCUGAAUGUUGACCUCGGAUCAGGUAGGAAUACCCGCUGAACUUAAGCAUAUCAUAA
rnacentral:rRNA from 1 species